UACGGGGGGGGCGAGCGUUGUUCGGAAUUAUUGGGCGUAAAGGGCGCGUAGGCGGUGCGGUAAGUCUGAUGUGAAACCUCCAGGCUCAACUUGGAGCUUGCAUUAGAAACUGCCGUGCUAGAGUGCGGGAGAGGAGAGUGGAAUUCCCGGUGUAGCGGUGAAAUGUGUAGAGAUCGGGAGGAACACCGGUGGCGAAGGCGGCCUUCUGGACGGUGACUGACGCUGAGGCGCGAAAGCGUGGGGAGCAAACGGG
rnacentral:rRNA from 1 species